rnacentral:lncRNA from 1 species
GUAGUUUCUGAUGUUUGAUUCAUCUCAUAGAUUACCGAGAACAUAGACAAUAUCAUGCUAAUGUAACACUGUGUUCUAGGGGUCCAUUUAUAUGCUUGUAUACUAAAAAUAAUUUUUUUGUCUUGUAGUUGAGCAAGGUUUGAUGGAGCUAAGAAAACUGGAUAUUGAACAAAGUCUUUGGGAGGAAUCGCGCAAAGUAAAAUGACCAGGAUACUGCUCUUCAUGAUGGUCGGAAGUCUGCUAUGCAAUCCAAACGUUCUACUCGCUAUCUCAGUAUUUGUUAUAGUAGAUAUUUAAUAAUUAGUAGCUACAGUAAAGCUCCCUCUGAUUCACUGAAGUAUCUUUGUUUUUGUUGGUGAUCAGAUUGUAAGUAGGUUUAUUGUUCAACAUGCUAUAGAACAGUAUGAGAUAUGGUGUGCUUUUUUAUUUUUCAUAGUUAGGGGUUAUGCACUUGUGAUUAUAUGGCAAGUCGAGCUGCCAGAGAAAUAAAAUGGAAUCAAAUUUUGGUUACAUCUAGGUUUUUGUUUAACAUUUGGAGACAAUUCUUGCUUUAAAAAUCGAAGAAACCUUUGACAUGUCAAGGAGGACAUGUCUUUUUAAGUAUCAUUAUAAGUUCAAUCAGAUUUUCGAG